GAGCGAGACUCCGUCUCAAAAAAAAAACAAACAAAAACAAAAACAAAAACAAAAACGCAUCACCUAAAAUUACUGAGUCACUGUCAAGACAAAAGGGAUCCAUGACAGACACAACAUGAAAGUUUCCCGCAGGUCCGUUUCUGCUUCCCCUCUUCGGCUAGUUCUGGAGUGGUCAUUUAAACACACUUCCUGGCACAUAACCACAGACCAGGUACUCCUCACAAGACCACGGCCCCUUCCCGAUGGUCUCCACCUGGCCACCAGGAACUGAGGUGGCCUAGCAGCCCAAGAGGUGGUUAUAAGGAAAACCAGUGCCCUACUGGAGGCACCAGCAAAUCGGACCCCCAGUAAAUACCCAGCCACACCAGAAGCACAUUGCCAGGAUGCCAGGCCUGCCCACCCUCCCUCUCUCCCUCCCUCCGGGGGCAGAGGAACUGGUGUCCACCAUCCCCAGCCAUCAGGGAAGGGCGAGUACAAGCCGCACUGCAAUGUCACACUCUCACACACCGGCUGAAAUGAGACUGACCUUUAAAGAUAUCCAUGGCAGCUCUCGCAGACCGCUCCUGGAGCAAACGGGUACAGCAACUCUGAAAACCAUCGGGCAAUAUCCACCAAGGCGAAACAUGCAUAUCCGGUGACCCACUCCAGACACACAGCCACCAGAAUUACACAUGUGCAUCACUGAACCACUUACGAGAAUCUUCACAAAAGAAUCAACUCGAAUGUCCGUCAACAGUAGAAAAGAUGCAUAAACUGUGGCAUAUUCAUACGACGGAACACCACGCAGCAGUGAAAAUAAUCAAAUGACCACCACCUAACACCACAGGUUACUUACAGAAAGCUGAACACUGCAGAGGACUUAGGGUGCAAUUCUAUUUAUACCACGUUCAAGAACGGGUGUCCAAUGCGCGAUGCCAGCUGGGGCAGGAGCUGCCCCGGAGGGAGGGAGGGAGGGCCUGGAGUCCUGGCAAUGUGCUCCUGGUGCGGCUGGGUAUUUACUGGGGGUCUUUGCUGGGCGACAGUCAGUACUGCAUGCCUGGGAUCGGUGCCUUCUGCAGGUAUCCCAUACUGCAGCAAACAUCCCACGGACUUCAGGCACAAGCAGCUGUCCAUCUUCACUCGGACUCUCACCGCCUCCGAGCUCUGUGUCUCCCGCACUCCGACCCGCACACCCCUCUGACCCACGCACCCGCCCUCUGUGAAGGCUCCCUUCAUCCUCUUGGUCUGAAACGUGCAAUCCCUGACAGCAGCUUCCCCCAGGCCCUCUCCACGGGGGUCUCUGUUCUCUCACACCCGACUCCCUGGGGAGAGUUUCUCCUUCCUCCAUUUGAUGCUCCCAGACCACGGCUCCUCCCUCCUCAAAAUGACUGUCUCACACCUUUCCUCUCCCCUCAAACUUCCAGCGCCCCAGCCACUCACUCUGCCCACUUCCUAUUAAUUUUUCAUGAAAAACAGAAGAACCCAAAAGAGAACAGCCAUAAUCUCCCUGCCAAAGACAGCCCCUGCAAUGGAAGAAGCCACUGCUUCCAGCAGAGACCACCUGGAGCGGGAUGACACAAGCCGCGCAGCUCUCUGGACUUGUGGUCACCACACCCUCUCCUCUCCUCCCAGUCCUUUGUGAACUCGCGGUAGGGAGCGCUCUGCUUCCCUGACUCACCAACUUCACCCAUUUCAACACACCCCUUCUCUGGCAACCCGUUCGUUUCCUACCGUUACCCACCCAAUCACUUCUCUCCUCUACACGCUGGGUAGAGACAAGCUGCUGGGCGAGGCCAUUUGUUUCCUGCUCUGCGGCACCUGACAGAGCUGGGUGCACACACAACAGUCAAAACACACAUCCAGCCAGAAGGUUUUCGGAAAUCACAACUCUUUCACAUAAACCUUCUUAAGAAUUUAGUACGUGUGCAGAAAGAGGAGUAGAGCUGCUCUCCAAGGAUGCACAGUUUACUGAGGCUGCCAGGCGGUGAGCUUAACACAGGGCACUCUGGAUAUGACAAACUGACAGACAAGGAAAGUGGGAAAUAGUCUACCUCUUCUAAUGUUUUGUAGAGCCAGGGUCUCACUAUGUUGUCCAGGCUGGUCACAAACUCCUGGGCUCAAGUGAUCCUCCUGCCUCAGCCUCCCACAGUACUGAAUUACAGGCAUGAGCCACUGCACUCAGCUGGAAGUAAGACAUUUUCUACAAGCAGACACAGAUACACACAUAUACACGUUUCUGUGUCUUUUCAAAGAAACUCACCUAAAGGCAAAAAGUCCAUUCUGUUCAAAAACCAGACAGAAACUAAAUAGAAGUGAAUUAUAAGCCUCUACCAUAUAUUAAAAAAAUUGGAAAACUAUUUAUGUCCGAGACCCAGUAAGAUUCUAGAGACACUAUAAUCUAAAAGCAUCCAAAAUUGAGUUUAUCCAAAUUACUGACAGAGGCAGGGGACAGCCAAACGCAAUACGUAGGCAAGUAGGGAAAGGUCCUGGGAGACUCUCUGUCCCGCCCAGGUCAUUGUGCAUGGGGUGGGGGAAGUCACCUCAACAACCCACAUUGAAAAAUCCUGCCCCUUAACACAUGCCCAGUAAGGGAAAUAAAUCAAUGUGGAGGGGCUCAGACUAAGGGCCUGUGUGCACUGAAGAACGGGGCGGAGCCACCAGGAAUACUCACCUUAUGCUGGGGACGGGCCUGGCCUCUUCAACCUCUGUGUGGUGGCCUGGUAUUCAAUUUAUGAGGGGAAAACCUGCCUGGAGAACCCCUCUCUUUUCUGAGAGCUUUCCUUUGCUUAAUAAAUUCUGCCCUCCUCACCCUUCAAUGUGUCCGCAUGCCUGAUUUCUCCUGGUUGCAAGGCAAGAACCUGAAUUUAGCUGACCAAAAAAAAAAAAAAAAUCCUGCAUCAU